AUCAACGCUGGCGGCGUGCCUAACACAUGCAAGUCGAACGAGAAAGUGGAGCAAUCCAUGAGUAAAGUGGCGACCGGGUGAGUAACACGUGACUAACCUACCUUCGAGUGGGGGAUAACUCCGGGAAACCGGAGCUAAUACCGCAUAACAUCGCAAGAUCAAAGCAGCAAUGCGCUUGAAGAGGGGGGGGUCGCGGCUGAUUAGCUAGUUGGUAGGGUAAUGGCCUACCAAGGCGAAGAUCGGUAUCCGGCCUGAGAGGGCGCACGGACACACUGGAACUGAAAACACGGUCCAGACUCCUACGGGAGGCAGCAGUGGGGGAAUUUUUGCGCAAUGGGGGAAACCCUGACGCAGCAACGCCGCGUGGAGGAUGAAGUCCCUUGGGACGUAAACUCCUUUCGACCAAGACGAUAAUGACGGUACUGGUGGAAGGAGCACCGGCUAACUCUGUGCCAGCAGCCGCGGCAAUACAGAGGGUGCAAGCGUUGUUCGGAAUUAUUGGGCGUAAAGGGCGCGUAGGCGGUGCGGUUAAGUCACCUGUGAAAUCUCCGGGCUUAACUCGGAGCCUGCAGGCGAAACUGCCGUGCUGGAGUAUGGGAGAGGUGCGUGGGAAUUCCCGGUGUAGCGGUGAAAUGCGUAGAUAUCGGGAGGAACACCUGUGGGCGGAAAGCGGCGCACUGGACCAUAACUGACGCUGAGGCGCGAAAAGCUAGGGGAGCAAACAGGAUUAGAUACCCUGGUAGUCCUAGCCCUAAACGAUGGAUGCUUGGUGUAGCAGGUACCCAAUCCUGCUGUGCCGCAGCUAACGCGGUUAAGCAUCCCGCCUGGGGAGUACGGUUCGCAAGGCUGAAACUCAAAGGAAUUGACGGGGGGCCCGCACAAGCGGUUGGAGCAUGUGGUUCAAUUCGACGCAACGCGAAGAACCUUACCUGGGCUCGAAGCGCAGUGGACCGGGGUGGAAACAUCCCUUUUUCGCAAGAAACUGCUGCGGGAGGUGCUGCCAUGGCUGUCGUCAGCUCGUGUCGUGAGAUGUUGGGUUAAGUCCCGCAAACGAGCGCAACCCUUAUCCCUAGUUGCCAUCGGGUCAAGCCGGGCACUCUAGUGAAACUGCCUCGGAUAACGAGGAGGAAGGUGGGGAUGAACGUCAAGUCCUCAUGGCCUUUAUGUCCAGGGCUACACACGUGCUACAAUGGUCGGUACAAACCGUCGCAAACCCGUGAGGGGGGAGCUAAUCGGAAAAAAGCCGGCCUCAGUUCGGAUUGGAGUCUGCAACCCCGACUCCAUGAAGCUGGAAAUCGCUAGUAAUCGCGGAUCAGAACGCCGCGGUGAAUACGUUUCCCGGGCCUUGUACACACCGCCCGUCACAUCACGAAAGUGGGCCGUACUAGAAGCAGGUGUGCUAACCGCAAGGAGGCAGCCUUCCAAGGUACAGCUCAUGAUUGGGGUG
rnacentral:rRNA from 1 species